rfam:Haemonchus contortus, ISE/inbred ISE, WGS project CAVP01000000 data, contig: Hcontortus_30685
GGCCCAAAUCUGAAGUAAGGUAGAUUAGUAAGGGCAGCUGAUCCUAACAUUCCACUGUACUUCGAAAUUGGGCCC